GUAGCUCAGAGGUAGAGCACUCGCCUGGCAUGCGUGAGGUACUGGGUUCGAUCCUUAGC
rnacentral:tRNA from 1 species